GCCUGUAAUCCCAGCUACUUGGAAGGCUGAGGCAGGAGCAUGGCUUGAACCCAGGAGGCAGAGGUUGCAGUGAGCCGAAAUCAGGCCACUGCACUCCAGCCUGGGCGACAGUGAGACUCAUCUGUGGGUGGGAGAAGUGGGGGAAAGAAUGCUGGUGGUUCCCAGAUGCCUAACUCCCUUUCAGAAGGGAAGGAACACUUUCAACUGUGAUCAGGACUCAACACCUCUGGGGAUAACGAGCUGCUUUCUGGAAAGAGAGCAGGACAGGGAAUCAGGACACAGGUGCUUCUGACCCCAGCCAGGAAGCCCUGAUCUACUGAAGGCUCCUUAACCCAAGUUCAGUCUAAACAUGACUGCUCACUAAGGCCUUUCUGCAGAGGCCCUACACUGAGAAAAGCCCCCAGUCCAGCUGAGAGUGCCCUCUGGAAUGGCUGCAGGGCUCCUCCUUCCCCGGCUCCUCCUCCACUCAGACCCAGGCCUGGGCCCUGCUCGCUAAAGCGUGAAGGAGGCCCCCCAGGGAAGCCGCAGGCGCAGGGGCUUUAAAUUAUAGAGCAGCUUUCUUAGCCCCUCUCAGAAAGGCCCAGGCACCUUCGCUAAAUAAUUCACGACCUCAGGAAGACCCACUGGUUCUUGACACAGAUGAAGUAGGUCAGCCCUCGGCUUGGCCCUGGGUGGGGGCCAUAGGACACAGAGCAGCUUUCCCACCAGCACAGGCAGGGGCUGAAGGCUGGGCGGCCUUGCCAGCUGGUCCGAUACUGCAGCGAGGCAAGGGGCACAGCGCGGGAGACGAGUAACCCCGGACUCCUCUGGGCACGAACACAGCCACCCUCUGAGGUCCAGGUAACUCGCCCACAGACACCCAGGGUUACCUGCAGGGCCUGGUCCUGGCCAGGCUCCUCCUCCUCCUCCCUCAGAGCACCUGGGUCGCCAGCUGACGCAUUCACCAGCACUGACAUCUUAGACCCAAGCCGACCUGUGCAGGACUGGGAUUCAGGAGACGGGGCACGGCUUUGGGUCUGAGGUGCGGUGCGGUGCAGAGCAGCUCUCCCAGGAGUGGAUGAAAAAACAAACAGUUAAACCCUGAGUUCAGCACACCAGCCCUCCAGUAAGAGUCUGAAAGGAUUUCAAGCAACCUCUUCACAGACAAGGAACCCGAGACCCCAAGUCACAAAAGCUUACAAACCAGGGAGGCAGGAGAGGCUAAGUGAGCUCCAAGGUCCUCCCCCACCACCUUUACAGUCACAAGCCAGCUGCCAGCGGGCCAGGCCCACUUCACUUCCUUCCCCCGACUCCACAUCUCUCUGGCUCUGCCUUCCCAAUGGCAGUCUGCGUCCACGGAAGGGGGAAGCAAAGGCCGAGAGCAGUCAUUUUGGUUUUGUUUUAUUUUGC
rnacentral:lncRNA from 10 species